AUACGAGGGGUGCAAGCGUUAAUCGGAAUUACUGGGCGUAAAGCGUUCGUAGGCGGUUUGUUAAGCAAGAUGUGAAAGCCCUGGGCUCAACCUGGGAACUGCAUUUUGAACUGGCAAGCUAGAAUACUGUAGAGGGUGGUGGAAUUUCCAGUGUAGCGGUGAAAUGCGUAGAGAUUGGAAGGAACAUCAGUGGCGAAGGCGGCCACCUGGACAGAUAUUGACGCUGAGGAACGAAAGCGUGGGGAGCAAACAGGAUUAGAAACCCGUGUAGUCC
rnacentral:rRNA from 1 species